ACCUCAAGUGAUCUGGCCCUGUCAGCCUCCCAGGCUGCUGGGAUUACAUGUUUGAACCACUGUGCCCAGCCUAGAAUUUUCUUGACAAGCAAUUUCUAUGAGACAGGGAAAACACAAAGUCCCUGGGCAGGGUUGGCAGAUUUAGCAAAUAAAAAUACAGAAUACCCAGUUAAUUUGAAUUUUAGAUAGGCAAGACAUUAUAUUUUAGUGUAACUAUGUCCCAAAUAUGAUAUGAGACAUAUUUAUACUAAAAACUUAUUUGCUAUUUAUCAGAGCUUCAUGUUUAAUUGGACAUCCUGCAUUUUAUCUGUUCACUUUAUCUCUGGUUGAUUAGAGAAGGUGAAGGUAUUUCUUGAAGAAGAGAAAAGAAGCCCAGAGUUGGGGAUCUAUAAGAUGUAUUGCACCUGUGAUCAACUUAUUUAAUCUCUCUGUUCCUGAGUUUUUCCAGGUGCAAAUAGGGGUACAAAUAGUACUUACUUUAUAGAGAAGUUAUGAGGAUUGUUAGUUAAUAUACAUAAAGUACUUGGAAAAAUGCCUGACUAUGUAACAAUGUUGUCCAUGUUAGCUAUUAUUAUUAUUAUUAUUAUUAUUAGGACUGUAAGUAUUAUUCCGAGAAAACAGGAUGCAUCUUGGUCUUGUCUUUUCUCUUUUGGACUAUUGAAAUUAACUUUACUUUUAUGACUUGGAAGGGUAGCAAAUAAGGAAUCCCCUCCCCCAACUUUUCCAAGGGAGAUAAGAAUGUGGCUGUCAUUUGGUACUGCUAUUGGGUAACAGACAACCUCCAAACCAAGGCACCCAUUUUGCUUUGAAAAAGAUUAAUUGCCAAGAAGAACCAUCUGCAUUUCAGAGUAGCUCCAUGUUUGAAUUUUGCCAGUUGCCAACCUAACGGUACUUGCAUUAAUCCUGUCAGAUAUCUAAGAUGAGUUACAGUCACUACAGAGAAAGAGUCUACAAGACAAUUUGUCCACGCUGAUUCUGCAGUGAAGAAUGAUUAGAGUUCUGGGUAGAGCAAUUUUCCUGUGGAUAAUCUGAAUUUAUAUCUAUAGCUGAAUGUAACAAAGAGUUUCUUCAGUAUAGGGUUUUAAAAAUCCUUUUCACAGAGAUGUCUGAAGUAUUCUAUGCUUCUUUUCAAAAAUCUUUAAUAACUUUUUCUUACUUACAGAAGAAGAGAAUUGUAUGAGAUCAGUCAGCAUCUGAAGGGGAAACAAGGGCAAGAUUAACCCAGAAGGAAUCUAAGAAGGAAGACAGGAGAAGGACAGAGCUUUAUCUUGAAACCAAUGGAGAAGAGCAUUUCAAAAUAGAAUGAUGAAGAAAGGGGUUCUGCCUGUUCCAAAGGAGUGACUCCCAAAGGAGCAGGAACUGACCAUAGGUUAUGGCUUGUGUUACGACACACUGAUGAUGUCUUUGAGGCCAUCCACUGACGUCCUCAACCAUGGCAUAAGCAAGUUUUUCUGAAGGAGAAGACCUGAACUUGACCUACAGUCUGGAACAAAGACACCCAGAUGACCCACAGAAACUGAGAGAGAAAUGAAGCCUUAUUGUUUUAACACUUUGAUAUUCUGGAAUUGAUUGCAGCAUCAUUACAGUAAAAGCUGACAAAUACAAUUCUAAUUUUUUAUUCUAUUAAGUUGUUUUUAUUAAAAGAGUAUAUUACCAUUAUAGAAAAAUUAGAAAAUACAGGAAAUCAAAAUGAAGAAAAGAAAUUAAGUAGGAAGACAGGCUCAAACAACUAUGAUGCUAUUACAUGUUUACUUACAAUUGUGAU